GCCCCAGUAACGGCGAGUGAAGCGGCAACAGCUCAAAUUUGAAAUCUGGCUCCCCCCGCGGGGGCCCGAGUUGUACUUUGGAGAGGAUGCUUUGGGCGCGGCGCCUUCCGAGUUCCUUGGAACAGGACGCCACAGAGGGUGAGAGCCCCGUACGGUCGGACGCCUAGCCCGUGUAAAGCUCCUUCGACGAGUCGAGUAGUUUGGGAAUGCUGCUCAAAAUGGGAGGUAAAUUUCUUCUAAAGCUAAAUACUGGCCAGAGACCGAUAGCGCACAAGUAGAGUGAUCGAAAGAUGAAAAGCACUUUGAAAAGAGGGUUAAACAGCACGUGAAAUUGUUGAAAGGGAAGCGCCUGCGACCAGACGCGCCGCCCGUGGCCCACCCGGCGCUCKGCGCCGGGGCACGCCGCGGGCGGCGGGCCAGCAUCGGCUCCCACCAGGGGGAUAAGGGCCGCGGGAACGUAGCUCCCUGCGGGGAGUGUUAUAGCCCGCGGCGCCAUGCCUCUGGGGGGGCCGAGGACCGCGCUCGC
rnacentral:rRNA from 1 species